CUCAGGACGAACGCUGGCGGCGUGCCUAAUACAUGCAAGUCGAACGCUUCUUUUCCCACCGGAGCUUGCUCCACCGGGAAAAGAGGAGUGGCGAACGGGUGAGUAACACGUGGGUAACCUGCCCAUCAGAAGGGGAUAACACUUGGAAACAGGUGCUAAUACCGUAUAACAAUCGAAACCGCAUGGUUUCGUUUUGAAAGGCGCUUUACGGUGCCGCUGAUGGAUGGACCCGCGGUGCAUUAGCUAGUUGGUGAGGUAACGGCUCACCAAGGCCACGAUGCAUAGCCGACCUGAGAGGGUGAUCGGCCACAUUGGGACUGAGACACGGCCCAAACUCCUACGGGAGGCAGCAGUAGGGAAUCUUCGGCAAUGGACGAAAGUCUGACCGAGCAACGCCGCGUGAGUGAAGAAGGUUUUCGGAUCGUAAAACUCUGUUGUUAGAGAAGAACAAGGGUGAGAGUAACUGUUCACCCCUUGACGGUAUCUAACCAGAAAGCCACGGCUAACUACGUGCCAGCAGCCGCGGUAAUACGUAGGUGGCAAGCGUUGUCCGGAUUUAUUGGGCGUAAAGCGAGCGCAGGCGGUUUCUUAAGUCUGAUGUGAAAGCCCCCGGCUCAACCGGGGAGGGUCAUUGGAAACUGGGAGACUUGAGUGCAGAAGAGGAGAGUGGAAUUCCAUGUGUAGCGGUGAAAUGCGUAGAUAUAUGGAGGAACACCAGUGGCGAAGGCGGCUCUCUGGUCUGUAACUGACGCUGAGGCUCGAAAGCGUGGGGAGCAAACAGGAUUAGAUACCCUG
rnacentral:rRNA from 1 species